CCUACAGGAGGGGCUGGAGCCAAAAGAUCAGCCAUGUGGGCAGUAUGUGGUUGAGCCCCAUGAAAACUCUGGACCCCAAAGGCUUGACUGAGCCUCCCUGGUUGGUAAUUCUCUGUGCAUUGCCACACAUUAUGGCCUGGAGGUGGUGAUGCUGUGCAUGCCCCCACAGGACAAGGAUGACCAGAAGCUCUGUGUGUGGACUGCUCCCAGACUCCGCCAUAUUUUAACCUGUAUCCUGUCCCUGUGUGCUCUGCUUGAGCAUAACAGCUGUCAGUGAUUUCUGUUGUGAAGAUAAUAUGGCUGCCAGAAGUCUGGAUGUUCAUCCUUCCAUGUUUAAAACCAGCGAAAAAUCACAUGCCUGUCUAAGGGGAGGCAGAAUUAUCCAAGCGCCACCUCAUUGCAUCAUGUGCUUGCUCUUCCCUCAGCUAAUGCCUGAGGCCAGGGGCCGGGCAGGAUCCACCUCCCCCUCAUUCCUGGGGCCAGGAGGAGAGUCAGGUCAGGAGCUGUGUAGGGCCAGGUGCCAGUUAGGCCAUCUCCCACUGCUGCUUCUGAAAGUGAAUCUCUCCCUGCCAUUCUGCAAAUGCUCAUCGCCAGAACUGAAUCCCCAUUGCAUGGCCUUCUUCACACAUCUGUCUACAAUCAGAGCCCUCCUGUCUUAACCUGUGCCUGGCAGAAUCAAAGGUCACAGAACUGUACCUUAGCUGCAAGGGAGCCUGGAAAAGCAAGUUUCUGGCUUUUAUCUUAGGAAACUGGGAGUCAUAAGGAAUGUACGAGAAAAUCAUUAUGUGGAAAUCCUGCAGAAAUGCUUUGGAGCUUGAAUGAUAUUUGACUUAAAGUUCUAUGCUAAGUAGAAAUACUCCUUUUCCUUCCAAACUGUGUUCUUCUAAACCUUCUUUAAAUCUGGUCUUUUCUACCCCCAAUAGAUGUGUGAAAUACAGAAUGGGAAUGGGC
rnacentral:lncRNA from 1 species